GCUUCCGCCGCGGAAGCCCCAGGGGCGGGGCUUAUUAGGGGCGGUGCUAAAAGCAGCAAUGCAAGGUAGCGUUAACGUUUCUGAGGCUGAAGGAGGUAGGGCCUGAGAGCUAAGUGGUAAUUCUGUUUUGUAAUGAUCCUAAGAUAAUAAUGGUAAUUAUAGUAAGUCGGGCAUUGUGUCCUAAAUGUUAUAACUUUUACUUGACUCGGCAAAUAUGACUGUACAAAGUGAGGGAAGACUGGAAAGUCAGAUGAGAUAUGAACAAAUAUAACUAACCAAAUACAUUUCUGUGACAACAAUGAAAAGCACACUGUCUGUAGCAAUUUAGUGAUAAUAUUGUACUGCAUAUCAGUCAGGCCACAGGUGGAGUACUGCACUCCAUGUACCACACUUUGAAGAGAUUUUACAGGCCGGGCCGGCUCACACCUGUAAUCCCAGCACCUGGGGAGACCAAGGCGGGCGGAUCACCUGAGGUCGCAAGUUCAAAACCAGCCUGACAAGCAUGGAGAAACCCUGUCUCUACUAAAAAUACAAAAUUAGCCGGGCGUGGUGGUGCAUGCCUGUAAUCCCAACUACUAGGGAGGCUGAGGCAGGAGAAUCGCUUGAACCCGGGAGGGGAGGUUGCGGUGAGCCGAGAUCGCGCCAUUGCACUCCAGCCUGGGCAACAAGAGCGAAACUCCAUCUCAAAAAAAAAAAAAGAAAAGAAAAAAGAAGAGAGAGAUUCUACAGAGACAUAUUGGAGCUCGCUCAAAUGUGAGCCACCAGAUAAGGGCUGCUGGAAGGAGGCGAAGAAAGAUGACUCAGAACAUGACAUCUGUCUUCAUGUGAAAGAAUGGGUAGAACUGAUGUGGCACUACGAAUUAUCUGUAGGGCAAAGGACUGGAAGUUAAUUGAAGAUAGAUUUUAAUUCAAAACAAGGAUCAGUUCUUUAAGAGUCUGAAGAAGGGUUAUUUUAGGAAGUAGCUGCCUCUGCCCCCUUCCCACCUGUUGCAGUGGAUCAAAUAUACACUGAAUCACUACCUCAUUCAUUCAACACUCAUUUCAUGAAGGCUUAACGCAUUGCUGUGGGGCUUACUCUGCCGCCGACCUGGGGCCUAGCUAGGCUUUGUAGUCUAUAUAGUCUCAUAGUCCUGCAAACUGGCUCCAGCCCAGGAAAUCACCCUGUGUAGGAGUGGCUGCAGUCAAGACGCAGGAAGACAAUCCUGAGGGGACCUGACAUCCAGCAUCUGAGUUCAGACUACUAUAGUUUGAAUAAGUGACCUGCAGAUUCAUUACACACAAGGGAACAUGUCUUCCUUUUGUUGGAUUGAACUCUGUGAUACCAAGCAGUCAAAACUACCUGUCAGAUGUCCAAUCCCUGAUCCAGAAUUUCAAGGAGCUGUGGAGGCAGCUGUACAAUGGGAGUGUCAUAAACCAGAGAACUUUGUGUCCAGGCUAUGUCUAUUAGGUGAGUAUAUGGUGAGAAGGCAGCUGUCUGUGAACCAGAAGGAGGGCCCUCACCAAGAAGUGACCAUGCUGGCACCCUGAUCUUGGACUUCUGGCAUCUGGAACUAUCUAGCUAGUUUAAAGAUGAAAACUGCAGCAGAUGAGAAAGAAAAAUACAACUGGAAAACUUGGAUGAAUUAGAAACACUAAACAGUUUUCAGGAAAGCUGAGUAUCAGAGAAAAACAGAUGCUGGAGGAAAAGAAAAAAAGAGGACACAAAAACUGUCCUGGCCAAAGGGGUCAUGACCACACAUUAUCCUUGGAUGAGGGCUUCCUUUAUGGUGACAAUUGAACAGAAGCAUUUAGAGCAGAUUACAAUGCAUAUUAUACGUACAAUGAAAUCAUUGAAACAGAAAAAAGAGCCAAAAUUGAUGUCUUUGCCUUAAAUCUUGCUUCUUUCUAGUUUAUUCUCUCCACAGUGGUCGGGGCAGUCUGAGAGAAUACGGUGGAAUCGAUGGUAUGCGACUUCCAAGGUUAGGUCAUAAAAGACAUUGAAGUUUCUGCUUUGUCUCUUGAAUCACUUUCUCUGGGGGAAACCAGCUACUGGGUCAUAAGGACACUCAAGCAGCACCAUGGAGGGGCCCAAGUGGAGAGAAACCAACUUGCCAGCAUUAACUUGGUAGUUGUGCAGCCAUGUGAAUGAGUGGAUCCUACCAUCCUAGUCAAACCUCUGAUAACUGAAGGUCCCACCUAUAUUUGACUGCAGUCUUCCAACAGACCCCACCCAAGCUGCUCUAGGAUUCCUGACCUACAGAAACUGUGAGGGAUAAGAUAUGCUUGUUGUUUUAACCCACUAAGUUUUAGAGUGAUUUGUUACACAGCAAUAUACAACAAAUACACAAGUCAUCACAGGUAAUAUUUUUAUUAAAUAUUUGCAUAGUACAAACCUGGGUCUCCAUCUUUGUAGGCUUUGAUUUUUGUUUUUUACCAAUCACUGACUGUUAAGCCACAUAUUUUAAGUUUUUGUUACAAUCACACCUAACCUCAAUGUACCAAUUUCUGUAAAUAGAUAAUGCUAGGUACCGUAACCGAUAAAUCUUGACAUCUGAGUGGAUUAAUACAAUAAAAGUUUAUUUUUCAUCUCA